AAAUAGGCGGGACUUCCGGGUUGGAUGGCGGAAAAUGAAGGAGAGGGUUAGAGGCCUUGAGUUACCAUUUCUAAAGGAAAAGCAAAGACAAGGUGUCACUCCAUGUUCUACCUGCUGGAGGAAUUUCAGUCCAUAACAGAGCAGAAGAGGACUAAAAGCAGAGAGAAAGAAAAGAAGAUUGCCCUUCUAAAAGCUGCAAUCAGUAUUCUAGUGUGUGCAAACCACAUUGGAUAAGGAAACUUCAUUUGACGAUCUACAUACUUGAAGAACAAACUUCUUCUCAGCUGGAAUCAUGGUUGUCCCCUAGAAUUUUUUUUUUAAGAUUUAUUUAUUAAUGUAUAUAGGUACACUGUAGCUAUUUUCAGACACACCAGAAGAGGGCAUCAGAUCUCAUUACCAAGCUCAUAGUUGUGAGCCACCAUGUGGUUGCUGGGAAUUGAACUCAGGACCUUUGGAAGAGUAGCCAGUGCUCUUAAUCACUGAGCUAUCUCUCCAGUUCCCACCACCCCCUCCGGAAUUUUCUUAAAGCUCACUGUUGCCCAUCAAACAAAUAUGGGGGACAACACUAGAAGUAUACCAUGACUCUACCCCAAGAUUUCCCAAGGAUAUACUGAAAAAUGCAACAGUGAUUGUGUGUGUGUGUGUGUGUGUCUUUCAUUGGCAGAUCCGAAAUAGCUCCUGGGCAGGUACACACCUGUGACUCACCAGGAGCUGAAAGCAGUGUAGCUAAAGCUACCGCUACAGAAGUAUGACAGAGUACCUUUUGACCCACUGCUUUGUCUGUGAAGUUGUACUCUUGAGCCUUCACUAAGUUGUUUUUUUAUCAUGAUGGCUGUGUUAGCCUUUGGUGUAUUGGUGACUGCCAAAGUCCUGUUAUUGAUUGAGAUCAUUUAUCCCAAAUACUAUGCCCAGAUACAAGGGCAAAUAAUGUGGUAAUGGCUCAGGGACAUGGUGUAGUACAUCUGAUAAUGUAGUCUUUUCAUAUUAUUAUUUGGCUUUUAAGCACCAAAUUGUCCCAAGAACCAUAUGGAAAGUUGCAACCUGGACCAGUUGGACCUUCCUCUUAGCCUGGAACACCAGAACACCUUACAGAGUUAAAGUAUCAAGAGUAUUAAGAUAUGAACUUAGGUGCUUGCAAAACUCACUGGCAAGCCAGUAAGACAAGUACAAGAGAGCCAACACCAGGGCCUACUGAAUUUAAGAACCACUGCUCCUGGAGUGUGUUUUAUUAGGCAAAUAAAUUAUACCUAUCGAUUUUGAUCACUGUAACUCUAUCAUCUGAAGAAGCCUUCCAGAGAGUUUUGAGGACUAUGUCACUUUAAAUAUCAUGCCAGCUGCUCUACCACAAUUGUUAGGGACAGCAUGCUGACCUUAACUGACAGUGAGGUGCUGCCUUCUCCCACCUUGAUACAAGUGUUAAUACUGGGAGCUCUUCCAAACACCCACUAUGGGGAAGAGAACUCCAACCUAGGGAAAAGAACUCUAAAAGAGCUUUUUAAAGAAACUGGGCCUUGCUUACCCCAACACAAGUCACAACCUUUUGGUAUAGAAAUUCUUUUAAAUAUUUCUUCCUCUUUCUCCAGGAAGAAGAACAUUUGAGGAUAGAUUAAAUUUUCACAUGUGAUAACCUCACCCAGUCUUGCCUUCAACAGUGUUUAAAUUCUUUUUCUUAUAGUAUAAUAAGAAAUAUGUGGCUUCUCUAGCUCCUAUAUAUAUAGAAUGGGCACAACUGAGCACAGUUCAUGGAUUUAAACAACUUCCAAUUUAAAGACUUAAAGAAAGAAUUUAAACAACUUCCAACUGCUUAAACUAGAACAUUAAAUCUAUAAUCUCUGGGAUCCAUCUUGACAAAUUC